GCUCAAAAUACGUCAUGCCCUGAACUUUCUGAUGCUUCCAUCUCUGGAAAAAAGCAAACCAGGCUAAAGAGACCACCUUUACGGCUUUUAGAGUCAGAUAGUGACAUCACCGAUAUAGAAGACAGUGAUAUCAACAAUAUACCACAAGCAAAAAAAUCAACACUGCCAUCCCCCCCAAAAAGAAUAGAAAAAAGAAGAAACUUAAUAAAAAGUACAGAAUCUGAGCCGUCAUGGACAUGUGAGGGACGUGACAGAUUUCCAAGAGCUGGAUUUUAUAAUUUCUGCAGCACACCAAAUAUGGAUGUUCAGUGUGAAGGACUUAGGGUUAAGACAAAUACAUUUAAAGAGUUGCCAGGGAGUUUCAGAUCGCCUAUGUAUACGGAUACAAACACCCUUUUAACGAUGCCACAGAAUUUAGAUCCUGCAGGGACAGCCAAUGGCAAUAGAAGCCAAACAGAUGUUGGAUUGCAAAAUUGUAAGUAUUGUUUAAAGAGUUACUCCCACCAAAUAAGUUUUUUUUUUUUAAAUUUAGUCAACUCAUAACAUUUCAUAUAUAUAUAUAUCCAGCUUUUUUGAGUAAAUAUUUGUGUACUUUUGAUUUAAUUUCAGUUGACUUGAGUACAAAAG
rnacentral:lncRNA from 1 species